AACGAACGCUGGCGGCAUGCCUAACACAUGCAAGUCGAACGAUGCUUUCGGGCAUAGUGGCGCACGGGUGCGUAACGCGUGGGAAUCUGCCUUGGGGUACGGAAUAACUCAGAGCAAUUUGAGCUAAUACCGUAUGAUGUCUUCGGACCAAAGAUUUAUCGCCCUGGGAUGAGCCCGCGUAGGAUUAGCUAGUUGGUGGGGUAAAGGCCUACCACGGCGACGAUCCUUAGCUGGUCUGAGAGGAUGAUCAGCCACACUGGGACUGAGACACGGCACAGACUCGUACGGGAGGCAGCAGUGGGGAAUAUUGGACAACGGGAGCAAGCCUGAUCCAGCAAUGCCGCGUGAGUGAUGAAGGCCUUAGGGUUGUAAAACUCUUUUACCCGGGGAGAUAAUGGCUGUACCGGGAGAAUAAGCCCCGGCUAACUCCGUGCCAGCAGCCGCCGUAA
rnacentral:rRNA from 1 species